rnacentral:rRNA from 1 species
CCUACGGGAGGCUGCAGUGAGGGAUAUUGGUCAAUGGGGGAAACCCUGAACCAGCCACGCCGCGUGAGGGAAGACGGUCCUCGGAUUGUAAACCUCUGUCUUCAGUGAAGUAAAUGACGGUACCUGAGGAGGAUUCCCUGUCUAACUACGUGCCAGCAGCCGCGGUAAUACGUAGGGAGCAAGCGUUGUCCGGAUUUACUGGGUGUAAAGGGUGCGUAGGCGGCCUUGCAAGUCAGCAGUGAAAUCCAUGGGCUUAACCCGUGAACUGCUUUUGAAACUGUAGGGCUUGAGUGCAGUGGAGGCAGGCGGAAUUCGCGGUGUAGCGGUGAAAUGCGUAGAGAUCAGGAAGAACACCGAUGGCGAAGGCAGCCUGCUGGGCUGUAACUGACGCUGAGGCACGAAAGCGUGGGUAGCAAACAGGAUUAGAUACCCCAGUAGUC